ACCCCCUGGCAAUGGGCAAAGAGACACCUUGUUAAUGGUGUUGUUCUUAUAUCAGCCAGGGGCAGAGUAGAUGGCAGUCCUUUGUUCAUCCUAGCUUGAUGCCUGCCUUGGUGGCCAAAGCUGUUUCAUGCCUAGGGCACAAUU
ensembl:snoRNA Gm25117 small nucleolar RNA SNORA48